AUUGAACGCUGGCGGCAGGCCUAACACAUGCAAGUCGAGCGGAGCGGCGGACGGGUGAGUAAGGCCUAGGUAUGGGACUCGUAGUGGGGGAUAACGUUAAGUACUGGAAGCUGAUACCGCAUACUAUCAGCAGAGCAUAGGUGGGAUUAGCUAGUGGGUGGGGUAAAGGCAUACCAAGGCGACGGUCCGUAACUGGUCUGAGAGGAUGAUCAGGCACACUGGAACUGAGACACGGUCCAGACUCCUACGGGAGGCAGCAGUGGGGAAUAUUGGACAAUGGGCGAAAGCCUGAUGCAGCCAUGCCGCGUGUAUGAAGAAGGCCUUCGGGUUGUAAAGUACUUUCAGUGGGGAGGCGUUACCCACAGAAUAAGCACCGGCUAACUUCGUGCCAGCAGCCGCGGUAAUUC
rnacentral:rRNA from 1 species